rnacentral:lncRNA from 1 species
UUGCUAAAAUAAGGAGAACAGCUUCAAAGCACAGCCUCAACUCAGUGCCAUUCUCUGUCUCAGCCAUGUGGGUGUAACAGGUAACAAAGCCUGGAGACUUUCUCUCUUGGUGGAAUUUACAUGAUAACUGAGGAUAACAGAAGAUGACACUAUAAAAAAGGGUAUACUGAGUUACAAACAGGGACACGUUUCCCACCACUGGACUUGAAAAAUAUUGGUAGCAAACUGGCAAAGGGGUACAAAAUGAUUUGCAGCAUAGUUGACUGUUUAUUGUGCUUCUCACACCUUCAAGAGUGACCCGAAAGAUCACAUUCAGAUCAGCCUGCUUUGCUGUUCAUCUGUGGGAACAGAAGACAUCCUCACAGAAGAUCUCUCUCUCUCUGAAUAAAGCAUAACAGCA